rnacentral:rRNA from 1 species
GAUGAACGCUGGCGGCGUGCUUAACACAUGCAAGUCGAACGGUAAACACGAGAAACGUUAUUUUCAGUGCCAGACGGAUGCGUAACGCGUGAGAACCUGCCCUUGGUCGGGGUACCACCCCUCUUAACGCCUGCUAAUAGCCCGUGGGAUGUGUAGCUAAUGUAGGAUGCCGCACUAGGAUGGGCUCGUGAGUGAUUAGCUAGUGGGGGGGUGAAUAGCUUACUAGGGCGAUGAUAAGUAGCUGGUGCGAGAGGAGGAUCACAGACACUGGGACGGAGACACGGCAUAGACUCCCCCGGGAGGCGGCAGUGGGGAAUUUUUCGCAAUGGGCGAAGGCCUGAGGGGCCACUGCCGCGUGGAGGUAGAAAGCACAUGCGUCGUGAACUGCUUUUCCCGAUGGGGAGGCAAUGACGGUACCUGAGGAGUAAGCAUCGGCUAACUCUGUG